UUCUCUUUAGCACAGUGGUAGCUGCGUCGAGCUGUUAUUCUAUUCAGAAUCGUUACUCGAAGGUCCUUGGUUCGACCCCAAGAAGGGAAG